rnacentral:lncRNA from 1 species
CAUACCCUUCACCUACGUCUAGUUAAAAGGGAAUACCAAGCCUCUAGGGAGACUAUAGGGAAAAGAGCAUGAAAGGGCUACCUGACUCGACAAAAGUCUGAAUCAAGUGUGAAGCCACAUGCCACCCUAAGAGGUGAUAACAAGGGCCAAAAAAAUAAGCCUGCGAGGAUUAUUAGUUACACAAAGUUGAAGAGCUACCCUCCGAAUUCAUUGAAGACAAAAUCCAAGAAACAAAAUAAAAAGAGAGAAAGAAAAAGGAGACAUAGUCAAGUGUCUCGAAGCUCUCAAUAAUCAAAUAAAAUCAAGGUGUCAAGUGAACGAAGGAGGAGGGUAGCUAUUCAUCGUCCUCGGCAAAAGUAAAGGCAAAAAAAAAAUACCACAACUUGUCCCCCCAAACCAAUUCCAAAAAUAUAGCCGUAUCCUAUAUUUCCUACUGGACAAAGGUAGAAGGUGUGAGGCACAUGACCGAAGGGAGGCUCGGAGAUAAUUUUUCUGACCUAAAGAGGUCCUAAUGAAGUGCUAAUCUCUCAACACGUAUAUCACGAGGAAACUAAACCUCAAGUGAAAGUUGUGUCGUUGACCUUUUAUGUCAAAAUACACCCUUGGAUGAUGUCGCCGGA